UACGUAGGGUGCAAGCGUUGUCCGGAAUUAUUGGGCGUAAAGAGCUCGUAGGCGGUUUGUCGCGUCUGCUGUGAAACUCGGGGCUUAACCCCGGGCCUGCAGUGGGUACGGGCAGACUAGAGUGCGGUAGGGGAGACUGGAAUUCCUGGUGUAGCGGUGAAAUGCGCAGAUAUCAGGAGGAACACCGGUGGCGAAGGCGGGAUCUCUGGGCCAUUACUGACGCUGAGGAGCGAAAGCGUGGGGAGCGAACAGG
rnacentral:rRNA from 1 species